GGCGGACGGGUGAGUAAUGCUUGGGAACAUGCCUUUAGGUGGGGGACAACAGUUGGAAACGACUGCUAAUACCGCAUAAUGUCUACGGACCAAACGGGGCUUCGGCUCUCGCCGUUAGAUUGGCCCAAGUGGGAUUAGCUAGUUGGUGAGGUAAUGGCUCACCAAGGCGACGAUCCCUAGCUGGUUUGAGAGGAUGAUCAGCCACACUGGGACUGAGACACGGCCCAGACUCCUACGGGAGGCAGCAGUGGGGAAUAUUGCACAAUGGGCGCAAGCCUGAUGCAGCCAUGCCGCGUGUGUGAAGAAGGCCUUCGGGUUGUAAAGCACUUUCAGUCAUGAGGAAAGGUUAGUAGUUAAUACCUGCUAGCUGUGACGUUACUGACAGAAGAAGCACCGGCUAACUCCGUGCCAGCAGCCGCGGUAAUACGGAGGGUGCGAGCGUUAAUCGGAAUUACUGGGCGUAAAGCGUAC
rnacentral:rRNA from 1 species